rnacentral:misc_RNA from 1 species
GAUGAAGAACGUAGCGAAAUGCGAUACGUAAUGUGAAUUGCAAAUUCAGUGAAUCAUCGAGUCUUUGAACGCACAUUGCGCCCCCUGGUAUUCCGGUGGGCAUGCCUGUCCGAGCGUCAUUGCUGCCCUCAAGCACGGCUUGUGUGUUGGGCCCCGUCCUCCGAUCCCGGGGGACGGGCCCGAAAGGCAGCGGCGGCACCGCGUCCGGUCCUCGAGCGUAUGGGGCUUUGUCACCCGCUCUGUAGGCCCGGCCGGCGCUUGCCGAUCAACCCAAAUUUUUAUCCAGGUUGACCUCGGAUCAGGUAGGGAUACCCGCUGAACUUAAGCAUAUCAAUAAGCGGAGGA